rnacentral:lncRNA from 1 species
GUAGCAGCUAAGGUAACUGCUGUUUAACUUAACAGAAAAAAAAUCUCAACUAGAUGUUAUUUGCAGUGCUGAGCUAGUAUUGUAACUGUCAUGUAACGUUAGAUAAUGUUUCAUCCUCUCUCGACUGAGGUGAAUACAUAAGCUAAGCUAAUCCAGAAAGCAGGAAUGGCUGUUGGACUCGGUAGGAGCGAGCCAAAGCGUCAGUGACUGCCUUGUCACACAUCCCACUCUGAAGAAGGGAUAUGCAAAAUCUCAACACCGGACAGUUCUCUCAGGAAAUUCCUCAUUUUGCCAAGGGUCACCUGUUCUCCGGGCUGGUUUGUACAGCUGGAAAAGCGUAUAUUUUCACUUCUGUCCGGAGGAGUAUGACUGGCUGUGUAUGUUCCUGAUAAAGACCAUCCCUAUCCUCCACCUUUAAAUAGUCUGUGAUCUGAAGCUCAGUGCCAGAAAGGGAGAGCUGGGACAAUGAGCAUCACUAUGGCAUCUGAGGACAUAGAAGCUGCUGUGGGUCGUGGGACAGUGCUGGAGUCUGCCUUGUCAGCUGAGACCAGAAAUAACCAUGUCACUUCAGACUGCAGCAUGUCGUGGAGUCAAAGCAAAGCACGCCCACAUUCUCACCAGCCAGAAGUUAGCAACCAGGGCAGCAGAGGCUGCUGCUCACCCCUCCCUCUGUAUCUGAAGUUAUCUUAUGACUGCGGGCAGGGGAUGUUUUUGGAUGCAGGAUGCAAAUGCUGGGAUUCCUCUAACCCUGAACAUGCUAGUGCCGUAGACCAGCUCAGCGCCACGUCUCUGGGGGAGCGGGGGAUGGGAGGGUUGGGUUAUAGGGCCUGGGAGGCUGGUUGCAGAAGGACCUGGCACCCCAUCGUAUCAGUUAGAGGGCACGGCGCGGAGACUCUGGCCGUCAGCCUGCGGGUUUGCAGGGGGCUGCUCGGCUACCCCGGGGUCAGACUCUCUGAG